GACGAACGCUGGCGGCGUGCUUAACACAUGCAAGUCGAACGGAAAGGCCCUGCUUUUGUGGGGUGCUCGAGUGGCGAACGGGUGAGUAACACGUGAGUAACCUGCCCUUGACUUUGGGAUAACUUCAGGAAACUGGGGCUAAUACCGGAUAGGAGCUCCUGCUGCAUGGUGGGGGUUGGAAAGUUUCGGCGGUUGGGGAUGGACUCGCGGCUUAUCAGCUUGUUGGUGGGGUAGUGGCUUACCAAGGCUUUGACGGGUAGCCGGCCUGAGAGGGUGACCGGCCACAUUGGGACUGAGAUACGGCCCAGACUCCUACGGGAGGCAGCAGUGGGGAAUAUUGCACAAUGGGCGGAAGCCUGAUGCAGCAACGCCGCGUGCGGGAUGACGGCCUUCGGGUUGUAAACCGCUUUCGCCUGUGACGAAGCGUGAGUGACGGUAAUGGGUAAAGAAGCACCGGCUAACUACGUGCCAGCAGCCGCGGUGAUACGUAGGGUGCGAGCGUUGUCCGGAUUUAUUGGGCGUAAAGGGCUCGUAGGUGGUUGAUCGCGUCGGAAGUGUAAUCUUGGGGCUUAACCCUGAGCGUGCUUUCGAUACGGGUUGACUUGAGGAAGGUAGGGGAGAAUGGAAUUCCUGGUGGAGCGGUGGAAUGCGCAGAUAUCAGGAGGAACACCAGUGGCGAAGGCGGUUCUCUGGGCCUUUCCUGACGCUGAGGAGCGAAAGCGUGGGGAGCGAACAGGCUUAGAUACCCUGGUAGUCCACGCUGUAAACGGUGGGUACUAGGUGUGGGGUCCAUUCCACGGGUUCCGUGCCGUAGCUAACGCUUUAAGUACCCCGCCUGGGGAGUACGGCCGCAAGGCUAAAACUCAAAGGAAUUGACGGGGCCCCGCACAAGCGGCGGAGCAUGCGGAUUAAUUCGAUGCAACGCGUAGAACCUUACCUGGGUUUGACAUGGAUCGGGAGUGCUCAGAGAUGGGUGUGCCUCUUUUGGGGUCGGUUCACAGGUGGUGCAUGCCUGUCGUCAGCUCGUGUCGUGAGAUGUUGGGUUAAGUCCCGCAACGAGCGCAACCCUUGUUCACUGUUGCCAGCACGUUAUGGUGGGGACUCAGUGGAGACCGCCGGGGUCAACUCGGAGGAAGGUGGGGAUGACGUCAAGUCAUCAUGCCCCUUAUGUCCAGGGCUUCACGCAUGCUACAAUGGCUGGUACAGAGAGUGGCGAGCCUGUGAGGGUGAGCGAAUCUCGGAAAGCCGGUCUCAGUUCGGAUUGGGGUCUGCAACUCGACCUCAUGAAGUCGGAGUCGCUAGUAAUCGCAGAUCAGCAACGCUGCGGUGAAUAAGUGCCCGGGGCU
rnacentral:rRNA from 1 species